UUUAAAAAUUUUAAAAUAAUU
rnacentral:misc_RNA from 1 species